CCUACGGGAGGCAGCAGUGAGGAAUAUUGGUCAAUGGACGAGAGUCUGAACCAGCCAAGUAGCGUGAAGGAUGACUGCCCUAUGGGUUGUAAACUUCUUUUAUCUGGGAAUAAAACAGGGUAUGCAUACCCUCUUGUAUGUACCAUAUGAAUAAGGAUCGGCUAACUCCUUGCCAGCAGCCUCGGGAAUACGGAGGAUCCGAGCGUUAUCCGGAUUUAUUGGGUUUAAAGGGAGCGUAGGUGGAUUGUUAAGUCAGUUGGGAAAGUUUGGGGCUCAACCGGAAAAUUGCAGUUGAAACUGGUAGUCGUGAGUACAGUAGAGGUGGGCGGAAUUCGUGGUGUAGCGGUGAAAUGCAUAGAUAGCACGAAGAACUCCGAUUGCGAAGGCAGCUCACUGGACUGCAACUGACACUGAUGCUCGAAAGUGUGGGUAUCAAACAGGAUUAGAUACCCGUGUAGUC
rnacentral:rRNA from 1 species